rnacentral:lncRNA from 8 species
CGCCAAUUCAUUGAUAUAUAUGUUGAAGAGGGUGGGGCUUAAGCUGCAUCCCUGUCUCACCCCAAGGCCCUGUGGAAAGAAAUGUGUGUUUUUUGCCAAUUUUAACCAUACACUUGUUGUUUGUGUACAUGGAUUUUAAAAUGUUGUAUGUUUUCUCCCCAACACAAAUUUCCAUCAAUUUGUAUAGCAGACCCUCAUGCCAAAUUCAGUCAAAAGGUUUUUUUGAAAUCAACAAAUCAUGAGAAGACUUUCUCUCUUUCUCUCUCUCCAAAAAAUAAGAAGUAGUGGAAGAAAGUAGUUUCCACAGCCUCACUCUCUCUCUCUCUCUCUCCCCCUCUCACUCAAUUUCAAUCUCUCUCUCCACCUCCACCACCACCACCUCUACCACCAUCUCCACCACCCCCACCCUCUCCACCUCCUCCUCCACCCCCACCACCCCCACCUCCACCACCUCCUCCACCUCUUCCUCCUCCACCACCUCCACCACCACCACCACCUCCACCACCACCACCACCACCUCCACCACCACAUCCUCCACAACCACCACCUCCUCCACCACCAGCUCCACCACCACCUCCUCCACCACCACCACAUCCUCCACCACCACCACCACCUCCACCACCCCCUCCACCAACACAUCCUCCACCACCACCUCCACCACCACCUCCUCCACCACCACCCUCUCCACCUCCACCCUCUCCACCUCCUCCACCACCAGCUCCACCACCACCACCACCUCCUCCACAACCUCAUCCUCCACCAUCACCUCCUCCACCACCACUACCACCUCCACCUCCUCCACCACCACCUCCACCACCACCACCUCCACCACCUCCAGCUUCACAAAAUGUUUCCACUGCUCCAUAGUCCAAUGGCGGCGAGCCUUACACCGCUCCAGCUGACGCUUGGCAUUGCACAUGGUGAUCUUAGGCUUGUGUGCGGCUGCUUGGCCAUGGAAACACAUUUUGUGCAGCUUCCGAUGAACAGUUAUUGUGCUGACCUUGCUUCCAGAGGCAGUUUGGAACUCGGUAGUGAGUGUUGCAACCGAGGACAGAUGAUUUUUUACACGGUAUGUGCUUCAGCACUCGGCGGUCGCGUUCUAUGAGCUUGUGUGGCCUACCACUUCG